rnacentral:rRNA from 1 species
CCUACGGGAGGCAGCAGUCGGGAAUAUUGCACAAUGGAGGAAACUCUGAUGCAGUGACGCCGCGUGCAGGAAGAAGGUUUUAGGAUUGUAAACUGCUUUAGACAGGGAAGAAAAAAGACAGUACCUGUAGAAUAAGCUCCGGCUAACUACGUGCCAGCAGCCGCGGUAAUACGUAGGGAGCAAGCGUUAUCCGGAUUUAUUGGGUGUAAAGGGUGCGUAGACGGUAUGGCAAGUCUGAAGUGAAAGCCCAGGGCUUAACCCUGGGACUGCUUUGGAAACUGUUAGACUAGAGUGCUGGAGAGGUA